rnacentral:rRNA from 1 species
UGGGGAAUUUUGGACAAUGGGGGAAACCCUGAUCCAGCCAUCCCGCGUGUGCGAUGAAGGCCUUCGGGUUGUAAAGCACUUUUUGCAGGAAAGAAACGUCAUGGGUUAAUACCCCGUGAAACUGACGGUACCUUCAGAAUAAGCACCGGCUAACUACGUGCCAGCAGCCGCGGUAAUACGUAGGGUGCAAGCGUUAAUCGGAAUUACUGGGCGUAAAGCGUGCGCAGGCGGUUCGGAAAGAAAGAUGUGAAAUCCCAGAGCUCAACUUUGGAACUGCAUUUUUAACUACCGGGCUAGAGUGUGUCAGAGGGAGGUGGAAUUCCGCGUGUAGCAGUGAAAUGCGUAGAUAUGCGGAGGAACACCGAUGGCGAAGGCAGCCUCCUGGGAUAACACUGACGCUCAUGCACGAAAGCGUGGGGAGCAAACAGG